UACGUAGGUGGCAAGCGUUGUCCGGAUUUAUUGGGUUUAAAGGGUGCGUAGGCGGCCCUAUAAGUCAGUGCUGAAAUAUCCCGGCUUAACCGGGAGUGUGGCAUUGAUACUGUAGGGCUUGAGUGAAGUCGAGGUAGGCGGAAUUGACGGUGUAGCGGUGAAAUGCUUAGAUAUCGUCAAGAACACCGAUCGUGAAGACAGCUUACUAGACUUCAACUGACGCUGAGGCACGAAAGUGUGGGGAUCAAACAGG
rnacentral:rRNA from 1 species